GACGAACGCUGGCGGCUUGCUUAACACAUGCAAGUCGAACGAGAGCGUAGAGAAAGCUUGCUUUUUCUACAAUCUAUUGGCAAACGGGUGAGUAACGCGUAAACAACCUGCCCUACGGAUGGGGACAACAGCUGGAAACGCCUGCUAAUACCGAAUACGUUCCGAAAGUCGCAUGACUAUCGGAAGAAAGGAUGGCCUCUAUUUAUAAGCUAUCGCCGGAGGAGGGGUUUGCGUCUGAUUAGCUAGUUGGAGGGGUAACGGCCCACCAAGGCGACGAUCAGUAGCCGGUCUGAGAGGAUGAACGGCCACAUUGGAACUGAGACACGGUCCAGACUCCUACGGGAGGCAGCAGUGGGGAAUCUUCCGCAAUGGGCGAAAGCCUGACGGAGCAACGCCGCGUGAGUGAAGACGGCCUUCGGGUUGUAAAGCUCUGUUAUACGGGACGAAUAAUCUUGUGGUUAAUACCCAUGAGAAGUGACGGUACCGUAAGAGAAAGCCACGGCUAACUACGUG
rnacentral:rRNA from 1 species